UACGAAGGGGGCUAGCGUUGCUCGGAAUUACUGGGCGUAAAGCGCACGUAGGCGGCUUUCUAAGUCGGGGGUGAAAUCCUGGAGCUCAACUCCAGAACUGCCUUCGAUACUGGAAGCUCGAGUCCGGGAGAGGUGAGUGGAACUGCGAGUGUAGAGGUGAAAUUCGUAGAUAUUCGCAAGAACACCAGUGGCGAAGGCGGCUCACUGGCCCGGUACUGACGCUGACGGUGCGAAAGCGUGGGGAGCAAACAGG
rnacentral:rRNA from 1 species